rnacentral:lncRNA from 1 species
AGGGACGUCCUGGAGCUGAUGGUGCUAGAGGAAUGCCAGGAGAACCUGGUGCAAAGGGUGACAGAGGAUUUGAUGGUCUUCCUGGUCUCCCUGGUGACAAAGGUAACAGGGGAGACCGUGGCCCACAGGGACCUCCUGGCUUACCUGGUGAAGAUGGAUCAAGAGGAGAAGAUGGGGAGGUUGGACCAAGAGGUCUCCCAGGUGAAGCUGGUCCACGGGGAUUACUGGGCCCCAGAGGUACACCUGGUCCCCCUGGACAACCAGGCAUUGCAGGUGUUGAUGGACCUUCAGGCCCAAAAGGAAACAUGGGUCCUCAAGGGGAACCAGGACCUCCUGGUCAGCAAGGAAUUCCAGGCCCACAAGUAAGUGUAAAAUAACUCUCAAGAAACACGAUGUAAUGUGCAGCAAAUGUUUAAUAAAUGGAAAUUACUAAAAGGCUAGCUU